GCUGGGGCUAUUGCCCUCCCACAGUUCCAUCCCAGCUGCCCUUUGUUUCUUUCUCACUGCCAGUGCUCUCAGAUCAUUCCCAUUUCAUGUCCCUUCCUUAUCAGUUCAUCUCACCCUCUCUGGAAGCAAACUUCAUACUUUGAUCAGCAUGUACUUUUAAAAAAUGUUGGUGGAGAAGAGGAGAUACUGGAGGCCUGCUGCUGCAGAGGUGGGGGCUGUCAGCCACUGAUGUGGUUGAGAAAGUUUUUAUUAUUAACUUCUUCAUGACUUCUAUUGCCACUGAUACCUUUCGGAUCAAAGUAAUAUGACGGCAGUUCAUGAGGCUCAGCAGAUAAAGUCCUGAAUAGGAUAAUGUGGAAUGUCUUUGCUAUUUGGCCUCAGUUGUACCUGGCCAAGAACUUCAGGUAAAACCUCUCCUCUUCUGACUUUGUACCUCGAGGCAAGGGCUGAAGAACUGAACUGAUGUGAAGACAAAAUGAUCAGUCCAGCCUUCUGUAAUCCUGUGUACAUCGUCCUUGGAGCCAGGCAGGGCCCUAUCAAACUAUCAGGGAGAUUUGCUUGUCUCACUGAUAUAAGUUCAGCUCCCUGCUGAGGCACUGCCUUAUCACCACUGACAAGAUUACAGUGGUUUCCUUGAUCGUGCGGGGAACUUAGAAGGCAGCUGUGGCUAAUCCAGAAGGAAAUGUUCUCCCACUGAGGUACAUGGAGAUUUGAAUGCUGCAAAUAUAUUUGAAAAAAGAGUAUCAUUUUUAAAAGCAUGUUAAUUCUCAUUCUGCUUGCUGAUGCAUAGCUGCAGAUACAGGUUAGCAUUACUGCCCUCCUGUAAAAGCCAAGAACUCAGCCUGGACUGGUGCUCAUUGGCUUCUUGUGGAAGCUGGGAUGAGAAAUCCACGUGCAGCACCCUGAGGCACACAGGCCAUCUUCUGGGGACACUCUGGGAGGUGAUCUACUGUGAAGCUGAUGGUUUGUGUCACACUCUGCUGCUGUGAUAGCAAAAGGCACAAGUUCAUCUUUGUCUGUGUAAAACUGGACUCUGAGAUUUGUGUCUUGGCUGGGGAGUCAGUGCUCAAGGCCAUACAGUAAGACAAGGGGCUCAGGUAAUUUUGUGGGGUGCAACAAGCUUGGCAAGCUUGGCCAGGCUCAUUUCAUCUGUGUGAGAAGAGCCAGUUUGGUCUCUGUAGAAAGUGAGCCCCCCAUUUUUCUCUUCUGGGGCUGGUGGGUUUACCCUGCCUGGAUGCCAUUUGCCCACCAAAGCCCUUCUGUCACUCCUGUUCUCAGAGGAAACGUGUGCACUUAGGAGACAACUGGCACUGUCAAUGCCUGCACUGGAGCAGUGAAAGAGCUCACAACAGCCUGUGGCUGGCUGCCCCUGCUUCAAGGCAAAUGUAAAUUAGGAAAACAGACUUAAAAUUGUUUCCCAGGGUUAAGGGGCUGCUUUGAUGGAGAACAAACAGUGAAAGGAAAUGAGCACACUUACUAUAUUCCUGCAGAAGGCAGAAAGGUGACUGAGUUACAUGUGUUACAUAAACACUGAGGGACAGAGAUGAGUCCCUGCAGUCCAUAGAGCACAUGAAUGGGGGUAGGCAGAACAGUGUUGGUGUGGAUUAGCUCAGACUGUACAGUUACUGUGUGGUAGAAGUGAAACAAAAAAUGUAAUUUUAUUGCUAAUACAGCAGAAAUAAUUUAAAAAGGGAGUUGUGUUGGGAGGCAUACCUUAAUGCUCAGGUAGGUUUGGGACUCUCUUAUGAGGCUCUUUAAAUUUUCUUUUUGCUGUCCUUGCUGUUUAGACCUGGAGAGCAUUUUGUUGUUGUUUCACUUUUUCUAUUUGUUACCAUAGAAUAAAAUACUUAACUGAAAGGGAAGAAUGUUUUGAAGUAAGAAAACCUAUUUUCAGUGAGAUAGAAAACUAAACCACUGAUAUUUACCAGUACAUCAGUCCAUAUUAGUUUGGUAAUAACUCUUUGUGCUUGAGAAGUUUUACCUGCUUGGCUGCUUCCUUUGGGACUAAGAAUUGACUGAAAGAGAAUUUCAAUAACUGCACUGCUUCCAAGGGCUUUGAACAACAUGCAGUGGGCAAGGAUUGUGUAGUGUUGUAUUGUAUUGUAUUAUCCAGGAUUUCAUUUUUUGAAGAGAUGGAGAGAGAGCAAGCUAACAGUGUGUUUAGUUCUGAGUCACUUAUGUGUCCAGCCAAACCUGUUGGCAUAGUUCCAGUACAUGAACCUUUUUCCACCUUUAUGGGAGGGACUCUGUAUGUUUGAAAGAAAAGAAGUUGAGCCUGCCUCUUGAGAUUCCAAGAACAGCAGUAUUUCUGUCUUUUUUCCAAGAUGGCAUAAGUGUGGCUCUAAGGAGCUUGGCAGCUUGUGUAGGUGUUUUACCAAAAGCUCCAAGAAGAAACUGAGCCACUUGCAGUUAGUUGUUGAAUAGUCCAGCAUGUAAUAGUUGAGGUGAAAAACUGCACCAGUUGUGCUGUGGGCACUGUUCAGUUCUGGGACAUUUUCUCACACUGGGUGAGGACUGGUGUGCUUGUACCACAGGAGGUUUGACUCAGUUACAUCACUGAGUCAUGGAAAUGAAGCUGGUGCUGUUUGCCGUGUGAUUUGCAAUGACCAAAACCAUUGUGGCAGAAAGAGACACUUCAGAACAAAGUGCUCUGUUGUGGAAUAUGAACUGUCCCCAGUGCUGCUGCUGUGACACUGCAGCUGGACAGCUGCAUUACACAGCACUGCUCCCAAAUCCCACUCUGCAUUUGGAGUCAGGGAAAACUCAGACCGAAAUAUGACACAGUCCCAUUUCAGACACUAUGAAGUAAUUAGUUCAGUAAUUCCAGAUAAAAAAAUUUAAUCUUUCUAUAGAAACAGUGCACUGUUUUACAAACGUGUUCAUUUGGUUUCCAGUACAGCAAGUGUUACACAGAGCCCCCCGCCCCUCCCUGGGCCUUUUGUCUGGAAGGUAAGAACUGAAACACAAAAGGCACCAAGCAAGAACUUACUCUAACAGAACUUCAGUAUGACAAGACAGAGCAGAAAUGAUUACAAUGUUAAAUAUCACCUACCAAUCUGAACCAUUAUUUAAAAUAAUUAACUUCUUAAAAAACAAAUUUGGUGUUUGAAUUCUCAGUAGUUAUAAAUCUGUAAAGGUUGAAAUCAGCACUGCACAUUGAGUUCAUUUACAA